rnacentral:rRNA from 1 species
GACGAACGCUGGCGGCGUGCUUAACACAUGCAAGUCGAACGGAAAGGCCCUGCUUUUGUUGGGUGCUCGAGUGGCGAACGGGUGAGUAACACGUGAGUAACCUGCCCUUGACUUUGGGAUAACUUCAGGAAACUGGGGCUAAUACCGGAUAGGAGCUCCUGCUGCAUGGUGGGGGUUGGAAAGUUUCGGCGGUUGGGGCUGGACUCGCGGCUUAUCAGCUUGUUUGUGGGGUAGUGGCUUACCAAGGCUUUGACGGGUAGCCGGCCUGAGAGGGUGACCGGCCACAUUGGGACUGAGAUACGGCCCAGACUCCUACGGGAGGCAGCAGUGGGGAAUAUUGCACAAUGGGCGGAAGCCUGAUGCAGCAACGCCGCGUGCGGGAUGACGGCCUUCGGGUUGUAAACCGCUUUCGCAUGUGACGAAGCGUGAGUGACGGUAAUGGGUAAAGAAGCACCGGCUAACUACGUG